CCGCACGGGUGAGUAACGCGUAUGCAACUUGCCUAUCAGAGGGGGAUAACCCGGCGAAAGUCGGACUAAUACCGCAUGAAGCAGGGGCCCCGCAUGGGGAUAUUUGCUAAAGAUUCAUCGCUGAUAGAUAGGCAUGCGUUCCAUUAGAUAGUAGGCGGGGUAACGGCCCACCUAGUCUUCGAUGGAUAGGGGUUCUGAGAGGAAGGUCCCCCACAUUGGAACUGAGACACGGUCCAA
rnacentral:rRNA from 1 species